GACGAGCCACACAAACGUUAUUCGGAAUUACUGGGCUUAAAGGGUGCGUAGGCGGCGCGGAAAGUUGGGUGUGAAAGCCCUCGGCUCAACCGAGGAAUUGCGCCCAAAACUACCGUGCUUGAGGAAGAUAGAGGUGAGCGGAACUCAGGGUGGAGCGGUGAAAUGCGUUGAUAUCCUGAGGAACACCGGUGGCGAAAGCGGCUCACUGGAUCUUUUCUGACGCUGAGGUGCGAAAGCGUGGGGAGCAAACAGG
rnacentral:rRNA from 1 species